CCGACAAGAAUGAUGGGAAUGGCACUA
rnacentral:piRNA from 1 species